GGCGCUGUUACUUUGAAAAAAUUAGAGUGUUCAAAGCGGGCUUGCGCUUGAAUAUAUUAGCAUGGAAUAACACUAUAGGACUCCGAUCCUAUUUUGUUGGUCUUCGGGACUGGAGUAAUGAUUAAGAGGAACAGUUGGGGGCAUUCGUAUUUCAUUGUCAGAGGUGAAAUUCUUGGAUUUAUGAAAGACGAACUUCUGCGAAAGCAUUUGCCAAGGAUGUUUUCAUUAAUCAAGAACGAAAGUUGGGGGCUCGAAGAUGAUUAGAUACCAUCCUAGUCUCAACCAUAAACGAUGCCGACUAGGGAUUGGCGGACGUUACUGAUGACUCCGUCAGCACCUUAUGAGAAAUCAAAGUCUUUGGGUUCCGGGGGGAG
rnacentral:rRNA from 1 species